rnacentral:misc_RNA from 1 species
GGGACUUUGUAGCAAUAUGAGGUUCCUAGUGGCAAACGGGUGCGUAACACGUGGGUAACCUACCUCAGAGUGGGGAACAACAGACCGAAAGGUUUGCUAAUACCGCAUAUGCUCAGCAAUGAGUAAAGUCGCAAGACGCUUUGAGAGGGGCCCGCGUCCCAUCAGGUAGUUGGUGAGGUAAAAGCCCACCAAGCCGAGGACGGGUAGCUGUUCUGAGAGGAAUAUCAGCCACACUGGCAUUGAGAUACGGGCCAGAGUACUACGGGAGGCAGCAGUUCGAUCUUGAUGUAAACUCGAG